GUUUAUGACAGCGGCAACCAGAAACCGGCGCCAUCUUGGAGUUGGCUUCCCACAGAGGUAUAGGAUGAUUAAGUUCCAGCCAUUGCUAUGGCACUCUACAUUUGUGUGAUAGAGCCAUGAGUGUUCUACUUAUGAUGGCUGGAAGUUGUACAUCAUUACGGUAAAUGUAACGAUGGCUCUGGAUACGGCUACCACUGAUAAUAUUGACUCAGUUUAUGCUACUGAGGGUGUCUUUUUUGCUUUAUUUUCUCAAAUUUCUUUCAGAAAAUGUUUAUUUUAGUAUAUAACACUUGCAGUACGUUUGUAAUUUAUUUCUAAAAUAUUUUACAUCUUUUGUUCCCUAAAUCAGAGUUUUGAUUGUAAGCUACUUGUCAAUAUGAAAAAAGUGCAUUGAUUUUGACUAAUAUGACUAUAUCCUCUACCCUAGUUAAAUGUAUUUAUUAACUCUGGUAGAUUAGAGAUCGAUUUCGUAGGACAAUCUUUGUACGAGAUUUAGGAUUUAGUCAGGUACAAGAAUGUGACCUGUAUUUUAUUCCUACACUCUGAACUUUGUUUCUUUCUGUUUAUGUUGUUGUUGUUGUUGUUGUCCUUGCUUGAAUCUCCAAAGAAAUGUUCCAAAUGGAAACUGUACCCAGCCCCUCUCAAAAAGCUUAGUUUGCCACAAAGGCUGUUGAGCUGAAUUUGAUCCUUCCAUCCAUGUGAAGGAGAAAGAAAACCAACUGUAAGUUAUCCUCUGAGCUUCCUCUACUUCAGUGAUUUUAUGCUUUUAUGAAAUUUAAGAAUCCAGUUACGAUCUCAUUUGUUCAUAUUUAGCUAUGUGCUGCAUUAAUUUCAAGAUGAGAUUUAUAUGUGAGUGGUGUUGAGUCUUUCUUGCUGUGUCCUGGGGAACAGAAACAGAGACACAUUCAUGAAGCCCAGCACUCUAAAACUAAACUACCUCUCUGGGCCUUUUGAACUUAUAUUGCAUUCAUAGAAUAAACACAAGCUGUUAUGACAUAUG